UACGUAGGGGGCAAGCGUUGUCCGGAAUCAUUGGGCGUAAAGCGCGUGUAGGCGGCUAGAUAAGUCUGCUCUGAAAGCCCGGGGCUCAACCCCGGGAGGCGGGUGGAUACUGUCUAGCUCGAGUCCGGAAGAGGAGUGUGGAAUUCCUGGCGUAGCGGUGAAAUGCGCAGAUAUCAGGAGGAACACCAAUUGCGAAGGCAGCUCGCUGGGACGUUACUGACGCUGAGACGCGAAAGCGUGGGGAGCAAACAGG
rnacentral:rRNA from 1 species